rnacentral:rRNA from 1 species
GACGAACGCUGGCGGCGUGCUUAAUACAUGCAAGUCGAGCGAACGGACGAGAAGCUUGCUUCUCUGAUGUUAGCGGAGGACGGGUGAGUAACACGUGGAUAAUCUACUUAUAAGACUGGGAUAAUUUCGGGAAACCGGAGCUAAUACCGGAUAAUAUUUUGAACCGCAUGGUUCAAAAGUGAAAGACGGUCUUGCUGUCACUUAUCGAUGAUUCCCCGCUGAUUUAGCUGGUGGGUAGGGUAACGGCUUACAAAGGCAAGGAUGCAUAGCCGACCUGAGAGGGUGAUCGGCCACACUGGAGCUGAGACGCGGUCCAGGCUCCUGCGAGAGGCAGCAGUAGGGAAUCUUCCGCAAUGGGCGGAAGCCUGACGGAGCAACGCCGCGUGAGUGAUGAAGGUCUUCGGAUCGUAAAACUCUGUUAUUAGGGAAGAACAUAUGUGUAAGUAACUGUGCACAGCUUGACGGUACCUAAUCAGAAAGCCACGGCUAACUACGUG